GGUGUCAGUCGUAUGGACCUGUCC
rnacentral:misc_RNA from 1 species